rnacentral:tRNA from 1 species
CAGAGGGUAGUGCAGAGGUUAGUACUCCUGCCUUUCACUUGCAGGACCUGGGUUCAAAUCCCACCUUCUGC